AAAAAAGGUCUAGACUGGUCCUGAUUUUGUUAUAUUUAAUAUGAAUUUCAUAACUUUGCCUCCAUUUUAAUCUAUAAAGUCUGGAUUUUUUCCCUUUAAUUUAAAUUACCUGGUUUUGAAAUUGCUGACUGCAACUCUUUGGGGGUAUUCACUUCCAGAAGCUGCUGGGGAAGAAGGACUGAUCCUGAAUGCCAGAGGAAGGUGAGGAUUCUAACCCUAUUCCUGUGCCACUCAGCUCCUUCAUUUCACUGUACAAAGGAAAAAAAGUCUGUAUAUCAAUGUAAAAAAAAUAAAUUAUUCUUUUCAUUCCCACUGCAGCCAGAAUUUCCUGACUAUACUCUUAAAGAAGUUGUACUGGGUUAUUUUAGAUACUCUCUAGCACAUAGUCUCACUCAUGAGAGAGGCUGCCCAUAAGGCUCCUUGAAAGGGCACAGGGUAAAGCUCUAGAAAUUCUGAGUAUGCCUCAGGGACAAACACAAGGAAGAAAUCUUGUCAGAAUGAAGUCAGCUUCUCCCUUGCCCCCUACACUUUUUGGUGGCCCAUGUGGGUCCAUUCCAAUAAUCAAAAGGAAGCUUCUGCCAUGCUGACAGUGAUUUAAGUACAAGUGUUUCUCCUGACUUAGCAGCCCUAGCAACUGGAUCUUCUCUAGUGUAUUGGAACUCAGCAGCCAUGGGAAUUAUGACAGUAAUUCUUCUCAUGUUCAUGUAUUUUUUGUUUUCUGCCUUAUGAAAUUAUUUAUAAAGAAGAAAUAAGAUGGACAAAUGUUUUAAGAAUGAAAUUUCCAAAUUUCUUGUGAAAUUUCUGAGCAGCUGAGGCAGAAAAAACAACUUCCCACUGAAAAUAACUUCUUUUUCUUGCAAACACUUCGUAAUACAUAUCCACCAUGCUUUCAAAAGAGAAUGGUCAUGCAAAGCAAAAAUAACCCUGGGACUCCCUUAAAAAU
rnacentral:lncRNA from 1 species